rnacentral:rRNA from 1 species
UACGAAGGGGGCUAGCGUUGCUCGGAAUCACUGGGCGUAAAGGGCGCGUAGGCGGCCAUUCAAGUCGGGGGUGAAAGCCUGUGGCUCAACCACAGAAUUGCCUUCGAUACUGUUUGGCUUGAGUUUGGUAGGGGUUGGUGGAACUGCGAGUGUAGAGGUGAAAUUCGUAGAUAUUCGCAAGAACACCAGUGGCGAAGGCGGCCAACUGGACCAAUACUGACGCUGAGGCGCGAAAGCGUGGGGAGCAAACAGG